AAACUGUUAGAUUUGGGUUCUUUUUAAAUUUUUUUCCGGCUAUUUUUUGGUAAAAUGUCAAAAGCUGAAUUUAAAAUAAAAUCUUCACAUUUAUGGAAAUUUUCAGCGUUAAAAAAACAAUUUUUCA
ensembl:ncRNA ZK550.42 ncRNA